GAGUUUGAACCUGGCUCAGGAUGAACGCUGGCGGCGUGCUUAACACAUGCAAGUCGAACGGACCUGUACUGAAACCUAGUGAUUUACAGGUUAGUGGCGGACGGGUGAGUAACGCGUGGAAAACCUGCCGUAUACUGGGGGAUAACACUUAGAAAUAGGUGCUAAUACCGCAUAAGCGCACAGGCCCGCAUGGGACAGUGUGAAAAACUCCGGUGGUAUACGAUGGUUCCGCGUCUGAUUAGCUUGUUGGCGGGGUAACGGCCCACCAAGGCGACAAUCAGUAGCCGGCCUGAGAGGGUGAACGGCCACAUUGGGACUGAGACACGGCCCAGACUCCUACGGGAGGCAGCAGUGGGGAAUAUUGCACAAUGGGGGAAACCCUGAUGCAGCGACGCCGCGUGAGUGAAGAAGUAUCUCGGUACGUAAAGCUCUAUCAGCAGGGAAGAAAAAAAGUCCUUGGCUUU
rnacentral:rRNA from 1 species